GCCAGUGUGGCACAGUGGUUUGAGUGCUGGACUGCAAAUCUGGAGACCAAGGUUCAAUUAUGUGCUCAGCCA